rnacentral:rRNA from 1 species
GACGAAGGGGGCUAGCGUUGUUCGGAAUUACUGGGCGUAAAGCGCGUGUAGGCGGUUGUCCAAGUCGGGUGUGAAAGCCUUGAGCUCAACUCAAGAAAUGCACUCGAUACUGGGCGACUCGAGUGCCGGAGAGGAUAGUGGAAUUCCCAGUGUAGUGGUGAAAUACGUAGAGAUUGGGAAGAACACCAGUGGCGAAGGCGGCUAUCUGGACGGUUACUGACACUGAGGCGCGAAAGCGUGGGGAGCAAGCAGG